CGCGGAAACCCUCCCCCGCCGGUGCCGGAGACACUCGGCUUUAUAUCUGCAGCAUCAGCGAGAAAGCCCGGCUCGGCGCAGGCUCAGUGCUCACCGCCGCAGUCCCGGACGGAGGAGGGGGGCUCAGGAGCUCAGCAUCUUCGCAGCGGGUUAAGUAGGAUUAAUACCAAAUCCCUGUUAUAUUUGCCAAGCAACUUGAAUUUAUCAAAAUCCCCCCUGGCUGUUCUGGAGCUCCGAGAGGAGGAAAUUUUGCCCACAGUGUAAGAUCCAGACAUACCAGUAUGCAGGAAUACCAGCAUACUGCAUUACACUGGCUCCCUGCACUAGCGAUACAAUUACAAGCCGAAGCUCCCACUGCUCCCUUUCCUUUGUGCUCUUAAACGCAGCCAGAAAACUUAAUGUAUUCGCCAGAAGAGGGGCGGGAUGAAAGCGCUUUUAACCUCCCCGCCAUAAACUUUAAUCGGAUUCCGGGCUGUUGCACGGCAUGGACUCUUCGCCUCUUGUCUGCGUCUCCUUCCCCGUUGUCUCCCAUGCCUACUACUACUACUGCCUGCCUCGCAGAGCUUGAUUCUUCAAGCGAAUAAGUGAUUUCUUUCUCUUGCCUUGUGCACUCUCUCCCCUCCCCUCCCUCCCCUCUCUGGCCUCUCUUACACACACUAUGCCUUUCACAUGCGGUCUGCGCCCCCCUCAGCCCCCCUCCCCUUCUCUCGCUUUUGCAGUGUCUUCACAUGCAAUCUCUCUCUGAAUGUGCAAUGUCUUUCCUGCUCGGGAGUGCUGCGUCCUUCACAGUGGAUUGGUUCCUCUCUCGGAGCAGAGGCCACUGAGGAUCCUAAUUGGAAAAAAACCCGUCUUCAGAACUAGCAGCACAGACACAAUCCUGGAUGAGUGGAAGGAGGCAAAAUAGAAGAGGAUAUAAAAAAGGUGAGAAAAGAGCUGGAAGUUGUACUAUGUGAUUGUGUCCUUCACUCGCUGAGUCAGCAGGAGCCAAGAGCUCUGCAGGGGCAUGCUUAGCCUUCACAUUUCUCCACAGAAACCCCAUCUGGCCAACUAAAUUGCCAGCAAUUGACAAGCCGUGCUGGAAGCAGUAUCCAGCUAUUCUCAGGCAGUGUGAAGGUUACUAUGUUGUGGGAUGUAGUAGGAAAGGAAAUGAGGAAGUUGUUGCAGAGCUAUACCUCACAUGCAAUAAGGGGAAGCAUCCAGAAUAUGUGACAAAACUCAGACUGUUCACUGUUGCAGUCUCUAGACUUAUCAAGGAUUGGACUUGCUGAGAAAAAUUAGCUACUGCUUUAGAAAGACCCGAUAUUCUUCUUGGGAAGAAAAAAGAAAACCUCAAAGAGAAAAAAAGUUGAAGGAAACUGAAGAGUUAAUUUUUAUUAUAGAAUUUGUAUCUGAAUUCCAGA
rnacentral:lncRNA from 1 species